rnacentral:lncRNA from 1 species
AGUGGACUUGCCCUUCCAGGAGUAUGUGGAGCAGCUGCUGCACCCCCAGGACCCCACCUCCCUGGGCAAUGACACCCUGUACUUCUUCGGGGACAACAACUUCACCGAGUGGGCCUCUCUCUUUCGGCACUACUCCCCACCCCCAUUUGGCCUGCUGGGAACCGCUCCAGCUUACAGCUUUGGAAUCGCAGGAGCUGGCUCGGGGGUGCCCUUCCACUGGCAUGGACCCGGGUACUCAGAAGUGAUCUACGGUCGUAAGCGCUGGUUCCUUUACCCACCUGAGAAGACGCCAGAGUUCCACCCCAACAAGACCACGCUGGCCUGGCUCCGGGACACAUACCCAGCCCUGCCACCGUCUGCACGGCCCCUGGAGUGUACCAUCCGGGCUGGUGAGGUGCUGUACUUCCCCGACCGCUGGUGGCAUGCUACGCUCAACCUUGACACCAGCGUCUUCAUCUCCACCUUCCUCGGCUAGCCAAAACAGCUGGCAGGACUGC